CAAGUACCUCCUGCAAACUGACACCAUCAACUAGGGAUGCCUCCCAGGACCAAGCUGGCACCAGUGCCAACUCAGGCUGGUUUGAGAGUGCCAAGUACCUCCUGCAAACUGACACCAUCAACUAGGGUUGGAUGCCUCCCAGGACCAAGCUGGCACCAGUGCCAACUUGGGCUGGUUUGAGAGUGCCAAGUACCUCCUGCAAACUGACACCAUCAACUAGGGUUGG